GCCACCUGAUAAAUGCUACACUCUGGUUUCCCAACUGCCCCGUGCUUUGCCAUGGCUGCUAAGGUUGCGUUAACAACCAUAUCCGCUGGAACCUAAAGCAAAUCAUUUUUUCAGUUACCGGAUUCGAGGUCCCAAACAGAUUCUUGAACAGUUCGGCAUUGAUGAUCUACAACACACACACACAUAUUACAAGCUUAUGCAGAAAAAAGAAGUGGAAGCGAGAGAGAAAGAGAUGAAAGCAAAGCUCUCCAUACUUCAUUUUUCAAUCUCUCUGCUACAGCUUCUUUGCUCUUGGCCUUGAUCAGAACAAAUAUCUUGUGAACAUCAGGAGCCGUCCGCAGCAUUUUCUCAAUGAGAACUGAAAAUUCAUUCACAAGGGACAACGGGAGGAGUUAAACGACAUUUCUGAGGAAUCGGAAAAGGUAAGGAAAGACGAAGAUACCUUUUCCCAGAAAUCCAGUUGCACCAGUGAUGAGGAAGGUCUUCCCUCUUAAAAAUUUGACAAUGCCGAUGCCUUCAUCCUUCCCAUUGGGGCUCAAGACUAAACUCCCGGUUUCCAUCAACGCGGGUCCAUGAUCUUGGAUCAAGGCAGAGGGCGUCUCUGUGAGAACAGAAGAGAUCCCAGUAGACUUGAUGGCAUGGUUACCAGUUUGGCAGCAGACCUUGCUGCUCCGAGUGCGUAUAGAAAGCCUUACAUGGCUGAACUUGGAAGACUUAACUGCAUAAGAGAUUGAGGAAUUCAGAGAGAAAGCCUCCAUUGUUGCACAGGGGAAAAAUAGUAAAAAAGGAUGCAAGGUGAGAUGAAGCUCUUUUGAUGAGAAAUGGUAGGUUUGCAAAGUUAGCUACUCUUCUUUUCCUUUCUUUUUUCCCCUUAGUUUUUCUUGCAACAAACUAUAUUGUUUAAGAUGUGAGUUUGGUUAGAUUAAGAGGGGUGGAGGAGUGUGAAUGAAAUUGAUGAAUUGUUAAUGAUUUUAAGGAGUGUGGAGAUGAGAAUUAGGAGGAUAACAAGAAGGCUCUCUUUUUGCCACCCCCUCUUCAUACACGUUUACUUGGAAACGACUAAUUUGGUGGAAAGUUGAUUAUUUUUAUUGUUUA